CUUCUCUAAAUGAUUCUGCUGUUAAGUCCAUAAACAAUUUCUUUCGUUAUAAAUUGUCCAUUCACCACCGGACUUCACUUCACUGACCGAUUUCUAAAUUUUUAAUAUGUCUUACUUGGUUCGCACAGAAUCUAACGAGACGGUAGGGGCUUUGCUCGUAUUGUCGACCUUUCAGAUUAUUGAGGAAUCAACAACCAUGAUUAAAGGCACGGAUUGUCAAAGCUGCAAACAAUGAACAUGAUUAAACCCUUUAGAUCAGUUAAUGAAGAAAGAGUGUGAAAAGCUAUUUGGAAGGGAUGCUCUUACUGAGAAAGGGAUGACUUAUGGCUAUGGUGAACUAAGAUUGCUGAAAACGAAAGAUCCCAACAGCAACACAUGAGUUUCAUGCCUUGAAGUUGACUUUGAUCUGGUACCACCUCAUUAACCGUUCGAUGGUCGAAACUACCUUCAAGUCAAAUGCAAGUGAAGAUAUUGAGAAGGAAACAAGUGGGAUUCCUGGCGAGAUCAAACUAAAGAUGAAAAGGUGUCUUGGAUCUUACUAAGCAAAUAGUGCUCGAAUUUGGCUUUGAUAAACACGAAGUCAACUUUUUGACUAAAUCCGAGAAGGCGGUAGGUGAUGAUGAUAUAUGGGUCAAAGAGAAUCUGGUGGGGGUUAUGGGUGACGAUGCGAAGAACAAGGGCCAACAACAAAGGAAUGCAGGCCCAACAAUAGAUGCUGAGUGGCAGCAGUAUAAUGAGCUCAUGGGUUGCCUUAACUCUGGUAAAAUCAGAAACCAUCAGGACAAGGGGCUUUGGAAAACAAGGAAAGAUGAGAAGUUCUUAGUGGCGGGUAUUCGAGAAGAAAUCACAAAGAAGACAAAUCCGGAGGGGAAGGGGAAAACGAGGAAAGAUGAGAAGUUCUCUGUUCUUCACGCUGCGGAGAGAGGUGACGCACGCACUGUGAGUGGCGUCGUUGCCGGUGUACCACCGUGUCUCUGCCAUCGGAAACGGUGGUUGGCCUAUAGUGUUCAUCUACUCACAAACUUCUCUCUUCUUUGGGUCCAGAAUCUGUUUCUCUCUCAAGGAGGCUGGCACAUUGAAAGUAUUUGUUGAGAGUCGAAUGAUUUAGUCACCUCCAUGUUGGAUUGUUUAAGCGACUAUCUAGCGACGAAGUUGUGCUCGCACAUCAGAAGGGUUGCCGGCUGAAGAGUCAAGAUAUCUCAGUAAAAAGUAAAUUUGUUAUAAUAGCAUCAACUUCAUCUAAUGAAGGAGAGCAAUUCAAGCAACUUUUUUAUAAAAGAAGCGAGGGAAGAAUAUGAAGGUGACAAAGUGAUUGCUAAAGAUAUUAGGAAAUGUUUUGAUGCUAUGGAGAAUGGAGUUGCGUCUUGAGACCUUGUAUCUAAGACCUUGCUGUUAAUGCCUCCAACCGCCGUCCGUGACAUGGCAAUUCUGUAUAACAGUGAGAAUGGAAUGAAGGACGUGGAGUUAAUGGUACAUAUAAAAGAUUUACUUAAACAAGUCAAUGUUUCAAUGGAAUUGAAGCGUAGGUUUUUACUUUCAUAUGAGUAGUUCUGUUAUGUUUAGUUUUUCGUUUAUGUUGUUUAUUUUAUUUUCUUCAA